rnacentral:lncRNA from 1 species
GUCCGCGUAGGACAGGAUCGGGAACUGUGCCUUGAUCGGCUCCAGAAGCCGGACGGCGAUAUCCAAUCCGUUGUUCGCUUCGUGAGCGAGCUCCGCAGAGUGCCUGAUCGUCCCAAAGGGACCUCCCGUCUUCGUCUGCACGUCGAAGGUACCGGCGGAGUGCCAUCUGCGACGCCAACGAACACCGAACCAGAAAAAUCAAACAAUCGCCGACAAAUCUACAGUCGCCAGCUGCAUCCACGACAUGCGGAAACAAAACUCUCUAUCCACGGAGCGAUGCUUAAGCCGGACAAAAUGCACAUGGUUCGAUCGUCAAACGGUCGAAAUCGGUCCAUCUGUGAGUUCAAGCAUUCAUCUACGAACUCGAAACUUCUGGACCGGAUCAUCAACAGGUACCGAAGCAAGCAACUAGCGGAGAUCGCGAGAUUACUUACGCCAGUCGAAGGACGAUGGGAGCGCAAUGCUUCUCGGCGAUGAGUCCCCGGAGCUUCCUCUUGCACUUCGCGGCGGCUUUCCGGUACUCCUCGCUGACGUUCGGGUAACGCUUGGCCAUGGCUUCCCUCAGCGAAAUCGGAACGAACAAGAGAGAUGGAG